rfam:Gossypium arboreum cultivar AKA8401 contig_7499_1, whole genome shotgun sequence.
UGUUAAAAAUUUCAUCCAUUUGUACUAUUAAAAUCUGACGUGGUUGACGAAAUAACUAGAAAGUAAUACACGAUGUGCCACGUAUACCUCAUAUUGAUGUACAGAGACUAGUUUUUAACCGUAAAAAUGAAUGGAAUUUUUAAUA